rnacentral:rRNA from 1 species
GACGAACGCUGGCGGCGUGCUUAACACAUGCAAGUCGAACGGAAAGGCCCUGCUUUUGUGGGGUGCUCGAGUGGCGAACGGGUGAGUAACACGUGAGUAACCUGCCCUGACUUUGGGAUAACUUCAGGAAACUGGGGCUAAUACCGGAUAGGAGCUCCUGCUGCAUGGUGGGGGUUGGAAAGUUUCGGCGGUUGGGGAUGGACUCGCGGCUUAUCAGCUUGUUGGUGGGGUAGUGGCUUACCAAGGCUUUGACGGGUAGCCGGCCUGAGAGGGUGACCGGCCACAUUGGGACUGAGAUACGGCCCAGACUCCUACGGGAGGCAGCAGUGGGGAAUAUCGCACAAUGGGCGGAAGCCUGAUGCAGCAACGCCGCGUGCGGGAUGACGGCCUUCGGGUUGUAAACCGCUUUCGCCUGUGACGAAGCGUGAGUGACGGUAAUGGGUAAAGAAGCACCGGCUAACUACGUG